rnacentral:lncRNA from 1 species
ACGAUUUGUCUCAAUGACUACAUACCAUAAAUGCCGUACAUAAAAUAUUAAUUUGUUUGAAUUCCAUAAUUUCAGGAAAACAAGUAGCACUCUGCUCACUGAAACUCUACUCUUAGUCACCACAAAUGAACAAUUUAAGGAAUAACAAUUGAAAUUUCGAAAAGAAAAAGAAAGCAAAAAACCUGUAAUAAUAGGAAAGAAAAAAUGGUAAAGUCCGAGGUAACCUCUUCUGCAAAGAACAAAGGAAAAGGGCUAUAGCAUUUAGAAUACAAACUGUAAUAAAAUACACAUGAACAGAAGAAGACACAAUCAAACCACUCAUUAAUUUUACGCAAAGUAGGCUGGAUACGGUGUUGGGUACUGCUGCUAAAAUCUGGAGUAGUUCUCAGAAAGGACCGAAGAAAAAUUCCAAAUUUUGGACCUGCAAUAUCAAAAACUUAUACCUUAGACAACAAAGCCAAGGGAAAAAAUCAUUUAAAAGCAUCAGAUUGACAAAAAUCCAAAACAAACAAGCUGUGAAUUUAAACAAUUCUUCACAUAGAACUUAUCCUGAAUGAUGCCAUGACUUUUCAAUAGGCUCUUAGCAUAUUGGAAUUGGAAUAAAUUGAGAAAUCAAAGAUAAAAAAUUAGUUCGCCAGUUAACCACUCGUGGCAGAUAUCACAUUGGAAGAAGAAACAACCAAGAACAAAGAUUCUCAAGCUCAACCGAAAGAAAGUGCACCGAUCAAAUACCCAAUAAUGUAGCACUCGAGUUGCUGCCUUAAGAACCAAUAGUUAGAUGUAGCAGAAAAAGAUCAGUCAUGUAGCAGCAGGUUGGCUGGAGCCCCUCGGGGUCAGCUCGGCUGGUGAGCCUCGGGGUAAUCCUCGGGGUAGCACAGGUUCGAGUCUGGCCUCACAUACCGUCUUGGUGCUCUUGGGGGGCGGGGUACUUCAGGCGCAGGAGAUUAGUCGGACCGCCUUCGAGUCUUGAUCCGGACAAUCCUGUGUUGACAAAAAAAAAAAAAAAAAAAUAAUAAUAAUAAUGUAGCAGCAGCUGGAGUAGCUACAGUAGCUACCGUAAAAACCAAUAAUUUGAUAUGGCAGAAAAAGAUCGGGCCAUGUGGCAGCAGCUGGAAUACUUACGGUCAGAAUUGGCUCUUACAAUAAGGAUGGGCCAUGUGUCAGCUGGAAUAGUUACAGU